rnacentral:rRNA from 1 species
GGAUUGACAAACUACUAUUUACCCCAAUCGCCAGGGACUACGAGCUAAGCUUAAAACCCAAAGGACUUGACGGUACCCCAUAUCCCCCUAGAGGAGCCUGUCCUGUAAUCGAUAAUCCACGUUAAACCUCACCAUUUUUAGUUAAUCAGCCUGUAUACCUCCGUCGUCAGCUUACCACGUGAGCGCCAAUUAGUGAGCUUAAUGUUUUUCACCAAUACGUCAGGUCAAGGUGCAGCAAAUAAAGUGGGAAGAGAUGGGCUACACUCUCUAUUUUAGAAAAAACGAAAAACUACCUAUGAAACCUAGUUAGAAGGCGGAUUUAGCAGUAAAAAGGAAUCAGCAUGUCCAUUUUAAUCCGGCACUGGGGUGUGUACACACCGCCCGGUCACCAACAAAGGGGGGGGGGAGUCCGUUUAUCACAGGGGAGGGGGAAUCCAGUAUCCGAGAAAGGGGAAAGGAAGAGACGUGUG